GAUGAAGUUUGAUUAUUUGUAACAAUACAUAUGUUUAAUGCAUUUAAUAUUUUAAAGCUAUUGGUAUCAUUACGGUAACCUUUUCCCUGACUUGCUGACUGUUUGGGUUGCAGUUGAUCCCAGCACGAUUGAAAACGGAUGUCUGGAGGUUCGUUAUGGUCUAUGUUUGUUAGUGAAAUCACAGAAAAAAAAAUAAAUAUAGCCAGUAAGAAAAACGAACAUUUAUUUGUUUAAUUUCAUAAUUCAUAAAUACUAGAAUACCGAAUACCCACUAGCUGAAUCUGAAAGUCUUCUAUACACUUUGAAUAAAUUGAUGUGAUUCAAGAAUUGCAAAACAAAAUGCACCUAUAGUGAAACAGUCUUUGAGUAUUAACGUAAUCAAGUCAGUUUACAUACUUUUCAAAAUUUUGUUUUCGAUUUUGUUUUCAACCAGUAACUUUUUACAUACUAUUCUUUUGAUAGGGUUUAGACUUUCAUCAUGAUAUUGCAUACUUUUAUUUGUUAUAAAUUUAGCCAUUCAUUCAGUUAACAUACUAUUCAUACUUUGUGAUAUGGAUUUAAUAGCAUCAAAUCAGUCUAAUAGUAUUCAUACUAUAUCAUAUUUUUGUGAUACAGGUUUUAGCAGGAUCCAAUAAAUGUGGACGGUUAGAUCACCAUGUUGAUGAUGGACAAAAUCAAGUUGCCGAACUGUCACGUCUAGAAUCUAUUAAGGAGAGAUGCCCUCAUGUCAAAGCUGAGAUGGAGAAAGGUAAUCCUACACUUCAGAAAAAGCAAAUUCCGAUAGUUUUAUGAUAUCAGUAUCAAUUUAUUCAAAUUCUUACUUUUGAUCUUUUUGAUUCCAGCGUCAGGGAUGAUUUUUUUUGUAGACAAAACGCGCUUUUGGCUUACUCAAUUACUACACUGUAACCUUUGACUAUUUUGUCUUCUCUGUUUUACAAAUUAGAUAGAACCGAUGUUCAAAUCUCAUAAAUUCAGAAGAUACAAAAUCAAAUUUAAGAAACAAAAACCAGGAAAUUAUAUUUAACCCAAAAUGAACGAAACAGGAUGCGUGACAUGGUAGGCAUCGGUCUAUACACAUUAUCGCAAUUAAGACUUAACCAAAGAUUCUGCGACACUUAAACUAUUCGCGUCAAACAACAAUCGUUUUUCUAUUGAUACGUCAUAUCCAUUAUUACGUAAACAAAUGACGGGAAUCUUUGUAAUGUCCAAAUGUAUGGCAAACAAAUAACGAUAAGGUGUAUAUUUAAACCUCAUGAAUAGGGCACAAAUAGUAAAUUUACAUAUCAGCUUAUUUUUUGGUAUUGAAAGGUUUUAGACCGCAAAAGCAUAUCGUUAGUGGGUUUAGACGCAUACCCAUCAUUUAGACACAUACACAUUUUGUAUAUAUAUAUAUAUAUAUAUAUAUAUAUAUAUAUAUAUAUAUAGGUCCAUCAAUUAAUAAUCGAUGAUGACCGUAUAACCAUGAUAUGGUUUUCAUUCUUGUUUCCUAAUAAUUAUGCUGUAGCAGUUUUGUGUAUCCUGUUAAUGAGGUCUGUAAAGAACGAAAUUGUAUGUGCGUAACGUAUUCGUUGGUAUGUGUCAUUUCAGUAGGCUGGGACAGAGUGUAAUUGUUCUAUGAUAAUUUUUGUAUUAUUGUCUUUCAUUUUUGCUAAUAUGCUGUGUCUGUAUGCAUUUUGUGUUUCUUUGCUACAUAUGACGUGGCCCUGUGUUUAUAAAUUCCGUCAUUGUGUUAUUGUGCCAUCGUAAAUAUGUGUUUACAUAUUUGUUUGAUUUAUAUUGAUUAAGAUGAUAACCCAAUGUUGACUGAUAUGACGUUUUUACCUAUUAUGUAUAUUUGUUUUGUUCACACGUCGUUUUCAAUAUAAUAGAAUUUAGCUAUAAGAAAAUGUAUGUAUCGAGUAAGGAAUAUGACAGUUGUUGUCCAUUUGCUUGAUAUUGUUGAGGUUUGGAUUUUUGCCAUUUGAUAAGGGACUUUCUGUUUUGAAUUUUCGUCGGAGCUCGGUAUUUUAGUGAAAUAAUUUUUUGAUACUUCUGAGUAAUGGCAAGUUGACAAUUUGAAAAAAUGAAAUCACGAUAGUUAUAAAUGUUUUGGUUAAAGUCGUAUACCUUUGUCAGUAUAAUAUAUAAGAUCAAUUUAUGAAGUAGAUUUUCUAGUUUCGAUGAUAGCUUUAAUACUUAGAAACAUCUUUCAUUUUCUUUACAGGAGAUGUUUUGUUUCUCCAUUCCAAUACACUACACUACAGCAGUCCGAAUCGUAGUAAGAUGAGAAGGAUUGGAUUCCUCAUGUGUUACAACAAAGCCUCUAAUGAAUCCGUCAUGGAACAUCAUCAUGCUCAAUAUACCCCCAUACAGAAGGUAGGUUUUAUCAUUUUGGCUCAAUGUAGCCUUAAAGGCAGAUCUUUUAAGGGAGUUCGCUUCUCAGUUUCAAAGUAAUUAACUUUUCAAAACACUAAUUUAUAUAGAUAGGGGAUUGAUAAAGGAAUCCAAAGAGCAAUAAAAAUAUAUAGGUCACCGUGCUUGUUUUUCGAGAUAAAAGCCAUUGAAAUUUUGGCGGGAAAAUAUUCUCUCUUGACUUUUCAUAGCUUUAUCAAUGACAAGUUGAAGUUUUCAAAAACUGUUAAAAAGUAAUUAAAAUUUUAAAAGACUUUUACAGAUGGCUUAUCAUUAUACAUGUAAAAGAUUUACAAAAAGAAAAAUAGGGGUCACCGGGCAAAUUUUUUUUAAUGCAUUCAAAUGUAUAAAACCAGAGGAUUCCGAAAAUCUGACAAAACAUUUUAAACAUGACAAGCCAGCUUCCUUAACAAAAUUGACAUGCAUCAUAAAAACGAUCAUAGCUUACUCUUUUUCAUUCAGGAGUAUUGUGAAAAUGUACACAAAACGUAAAAGUAAAUAUAAUUGACAUAUGCAAACAAUAUAAGUAGACGGAAUUUAAACGUGUACACUAGUAUAGGUAAAGGGGUAGGUUCAGUAAGACCCCUUUUUGGCCCAAAAAUAUAGCAAUUACAAAAUUGUUAAAAUGUAAACUGUUAGUUAUUUAUGGAAAGUAGAAUGCUUCUAAUACAUAGAUAUGGGCUGUUUUUGACAAUACAAUGCUCAUAUAUCGGUACUAGCAUCAUUUACUCAUGCUUAAUUACUGAAAUCUUUACAAUUUUAGCAUAUUAGUUAAGUUUUUCCGUCUUAAAUGAAAAUGGCCGCAUUUGUGUUCAUUCUUAAUAUUGAAAUGUAAGUUGUAUUUGAUGAUAAUACAUAACAUAUAUAAAGGUUGAGGAUGAACACGGAUGCGUUCACUAUCAUAUUUGACAAAAGCCAUCUGAAAAAUGACAUUUUCUUGGCAUAUUUGAUAGAUUUUUUUAUAUUUAAGCUUGAAUCGGAGCGUUUUUAAUUACUUAAUCAGUAAAAAUCUUUCACAUAAACUCAUUGAAUCAACUGAAAUAGAUAAUAAAGUGUUUAAAAAGUGUCAAAAAUCUUUCGUCAGAUGAACUUAAAAUUUGAUGCCAUAAUCGGCCCUUACCGGACCUACUACUUUGAUUAUUUGAUAAUGGCCAAUCAAUUAUAAAUAUGAUGUUUAAACUCCACCGACUUAUAAUUGUUUGCAGGUAUCAAUCCUAAUUGUCAUGUUUGAGCAAACAUUAGUACAAACAAAUCAAGCAAGGCAAGCAAGCCAACCAGUCUCUUACUCAAGAGAGGGACGAAAGAUACCAGAGGGAGAGUCAAACUCAUAGAUAGAAGAUAAAAUGACAAUUCCAUGGCUUAAACUAAAAAGACAAACAGACAAAUAAUAGUACAGAAGACACAACAUAGAAAACUAACACGAACCCCAUCAAAAACUGGGGGUGAUCUCAGGUGCUCCGGAAGGGUAAGCAGAUCCUGCUCCACAUGUGGCACCCAUCGUGUUGCUUAUGUUAUUGCAAAUCCGGGAAAUAUCUUUAAAAGCUUCCUUUUGAGUAGCAAUCCUCUCUCAAUGAAAUCAUGAUAGAAAAUACAAGCCCGUAAAUAUCGUAUCAAUUGGGAGAUAUAUACUCCGUAUGCAGCCGCUGCUCGAAUGUUGCUACUUAGAAAUGGAAAGUUCACAAUUGAAAUACUUUGUACUUAUAUUGGUAAAGAGAAAAAUAUUUAACAUGAUUAUAUACACUGUUUAAUAAUACUUUCACCUGUCUCUUUUUCUCUCUCUCCGAAUAGUAUAAAUAGAGGAAAGAAUAUUCUGUUUCAAUUUAUAAACAUGAGUUGCACGUGCACAAUGGUCAAUUAGUCCAAUUAUUAUUUCAGGUUCCAGAUUCUGCAAUCAAGGAAUGUACAAAUUUUACAGACAUGUCGGGAAAGGAAUUUCAACAUCCAAAUACAAAUACAACAAUGAUUGGCAGGAAAGAUCAAUCCCAC
rnacentral:lncRNA from 1 species